AGUCAAGAAAUAAGGAAGGAAAGAAGGAAGAAAGAGAAGACUAGAAUUUGACCUAAGUUUACACUGAAGUUGGUAGGGUUGUUAGAGGAAUAUUGAGAGCAGAAGAGGUCCUGAUGUCUCCCUUUCUAGAUUGUAAGUGUUCAGGAAGGGCCUCGAACUUGAACAAAACCGAAGUCUCAGCAGUUAUGAAAUCGAAGCAGUUCCCUUAGUGUGUUGUGUUGUCAUUGGAGAAUAAAGAGGUCUUGUUUCCUUUUCACUCAUUGGUGCUUCCUUGGGAUCUUCCAAUGCCACUUCUACUAAAUGUCUUGUCUUCUAAUUUCUAAUCAUACAGUUCGCAUGCAACAUGAAGCCUCUGUGAAGGUUUUAGACUUCCUGGUUCCUCCGAGCACUCUUUAUGAAGAUGAGCAACAGACAAGCAAUUAUGACGUCGCCACCCAUAAAACAUAGGAAGCUACUUUUGUGACCUCAUCAUGAAUUCUGAAACGUGUUAGUGACUCGGAUGCCCUCAUUACUGAAAGUUACAGUGCGAUGUCUGACUGUUCAGCGAAAAUGAAGAAUGGUGAAAACGCAAAUCCCUCAGCAUUCACGGUACAGACUUAAUGAUGGAAAAGACCCAGUUGGCUUUGAUACCACUGGGAUUGAAAUUUCAGACUCGGAGGAUGACUCACUGCUUUGCUGUGUCAUGAGUUUCAUUCUGAAAUGAAAUACACUCUGUGGUUUCAUUUGAGGCUUCGUGUUGAUGCAAAAAGGAAAUGAGCCCAUAUUGGGAAGUUGGGUUGAAAUACACAUGUUGUACCAAGUUGUUACCCGGCCAUCCUUACGCCCUGUGCUUUGGUCUUACCACACUGUUUUAGCAUCAGUUCACACCUAUCAGUCUUCCUCCCUUGUCUGGGAAUUGGGUUAAGCAACUAGAAUGUGUGCAGAGAGCAGCCUGGGAAUGAAGCACCAAUUAUCAUCUCUGUGUGGAUGAUGUCCUGGCCUCAGACCUUCCUGGGUUGGUACUGAGGUGAGAAUGUUCAUCUUUAUGGCAUGCCCACUCUCCAGUCUUGUUUUACGAAAGCCAUUUUACAGUGUUACCUUAUAAUAGUUACAUCUUCAAGCUUGGAUAUUCUCCCAAGACCAAUGAGUAGUGAGAACUGGGAAGAGGAGUAGAAGUAAAGUUGUAGUGGAGAAUGAAAAGAAAUCAAAACAAAGCCACCAAGACCUUCUACAUGCUAGGGAACACUCUAAUACUAGGCUAUACCUUCAUUUCCAAAUAUCGGUCUUUUAUAAAUGUAGUUAAGGAUUUCAAACUUAUUUCCACAUUUUUGAGUAUGUUUGAAGUUCCAGAGAACUCUGAGGGUGGUUGAUUUCCAAGACUGUCAGGGUGAGAGGUACCAGGCCAGAAAGAGAACAAAAAUAAAUCCUGUAUUUAACAAAAUCAACCAAGUUGUUCCCCUUAGUGUUUUGAUAGACAACUUUUCAUUCAAAGCCAGACUAACACUGGUUUUCCUCUUACUCUGAGACCCCAGGGAAGUCACUUGAUCCAUUACUUAUUUGUUUAU
rnacentral:sRNA from 1 species